UUUUUCAAAAAUUUUAAAUAUAUUAUUUUCUUAGCUGAACAAAUCCAUACUGCCACACCCCAAACCAGCUCUAACAAUCUUAUAUGCAAAAAAUGUUUGAAAUCCUUUGGCAAUUUAACAAGGCAUAUGAAGAUAUGUGCUAAUGUCGAUCAUCCCGAGCCUCAAAAUAUGAAGACAACGCCCCAAACGAAUACGUGCAACAUAUGUAGUAAAACCUUUUCAAAAAAAGUAAUUUGGCAAGUCAUAUGAAGAUUUGUAAUGUCAAUCAGUCUAAACCCCCAAAAAUGAAGACAACGUCCCUGAAAAGGAAGAGCUCGGGCACUAACAUUGAUCAGUCAGAGACAACGCCUCCGAUAGCCAAGAGUACCAGACUUGGUUUCAAUAACG